GGAAUCUUCGGCAAUGGACGAAAGUCUGACCGAGCAACGCCGCGUGAGUGAAGAAGGUUUUCGGAUCGUAAAACUCUGUUGGUAGAGAAGAACGUUGGUGAGAGUGGAAAGCUCAUCAAGUGACGGUAACUACCCAGAAAGGGACGGCUAACUACGUGCCAGCAGCCGCGGUAAUACGUAGGUCCCGAGCGUUGUCCGGAUUUAUUGGGCGUAAAGCGAGCGCAGGUGGUUUAUUAAGUCUGGUGUAAAAGGCAGUGGCUCAACCAUUGUAUGCAUUGGAAACUGGUAGACUUGAGUGCAGGAGAGGAGAGUGGAAUUCCAUGUGUAGCGGUGAAAUGCGUAGAUAUAUGGAGGAACACCGGUGGCGAAAGCGGCUCUCUGGCCUGUAACUGACACUGAGGCUCGAAAGCGUGGGGAGCAAACA
rnacentral:rRNA from 1 species